AAAAAAUUCGCAACAGCCAACGUCGGGAAGGCUCGGGCAGCACGGCUCCCUGCUGGUGUUUGUAUGCACACAACUUCACCCAGAUUUCUGCGUGGUGAGUGACCAUCGAGAGGGGCAGGACUGGUGGCAGACACAGAGAUCAGGAACUAGAUGGGUUUGUCAGAUAUAUAAUGAGGUCUCCAGCCACUCCCAUUUGAAAGAAAUGAACCAGAAGCCCUGGGGAGUUGAACUACAAGUGGAUACAGAGGAGAGAGGCAGAAAGGAAUUGAGCAAGUAGAGGUGUCUGUCCCGUUCUACAACCAAAACCAGUCUUCCUGCCCACCCCACUUCCCAUUCCCAUCCUGGCUCCCGCUGGCCCAGCAGAGGCUAACGGCGUCCCUGCCACAAUGGAGGAGAGAUGCAAAGACUUGCCACCCUGCAUAAAUCAGUCCACCUGAAAAUGUCAGAAAACCAAAGCUGGUCCUUGUCAGCUACAGCAGGAACCAUGAACAUUCAGCACUCAUCUGAAAUGCUGUCUUCACAACAGAGCAAAAGCAAAACAAGUCGCAGAGGAGUGUCCUCCUGUUGAGCCAUCCUCCCUCACCAUCUCAGGAAGACAGGCCUUUGCAUCGUAGCAGCAUUUAAGAAUACUCACAAGUCCCGUGUGUUUGCAUGUGAAACUGGUUUCUCUGAAAUUCAUUCUGCUCCUACAUAAUGGCUGCUCUGCCUACUACAGAAUAAAAUUAACUUCAAGAAGAAAUACUUUUCACAUGAUUCCCAAAAGUGGGGCUUUUAAGCCAGUGACUACGAGAGUUUACAUCGCUUCCUAUCAAGCAACAAAAGAUGGAUAUAGUGGACAAGGAGUACCCAGGCAGUGCACAAAGGAGGCCAAGAUUUUCCAUUUGGAUGUUCCUUCAAGAAAAUAUCUGAGUGAUGUCCAGCAUGCUCCAG